AGGACGCAUCCUUCGGGAAGCGAGCGUACACAGGUGCUGCAUGGCUGUCGUCAGCUCGUAUCGUGAGAUGUUGGGUUAAGUCCCCGCAACGAGCGCAACCCCUGCAUUCAGUUGCCAUCGGGUAAUGCCGGGCACUCUGGAAGGACUGCCAUCGACAAGAUGGAGGAAGGUGGGGAUGACGUCAAGUCAUCAUGGCCCUUAUGUCCAGGGCGACACACGUGCUACAAUGGCCGGCACAACGGGAAGCGAGUUCGCGAGGACGAGCGGAUCCCUCAAAGCCGGUCGCAGUUCGGAUUGAAGUCUGCAACUCGACUUCAUGAAGCUGGAAUCGCUAGUAAUCGUGGAUCAGCCAAGCCGCGGUGAAUACGUUCCCGGGCCUU
rnacentral:rRNA from 1 species